UUCGCACGUAUUAUCGCACAAACUCUAUGGCUAACAUCCUCUGAAACGCUCUCGUGGUACACCCGGCGACGCGCGACUCGCGCCCCGCCGCCGGUAAAAUUGAAAACUGAUAUCACACUUCCGCCCGUCUUGUAAUCGAAACAAACGCCGGCCGCCGCCCCUCUGCGCGGCCAUCCCUUACAGUAGUACGUACUGUAUCCCUCUCGUGGUACAAAUUGAAAAACAAACAACAUCGCGAGCGCGCGCGAGCGAGCGGGGCAUCCUCCCCCGUUCGCGCUUCGCGCGUCGCGCGCGCGACGAACAACAAAUUCACGCGAAAAAGCCGACGCCAACCGCCGCGCGCGUAUUACACGAAGCACUGGUUGCCGACGCAGCAGCGUCCGUUGAGGUCGCACACGACGACGGACGACUCCCCGCCGCCGUUCCCGACCGCGACGGUCGCCCUCUUCGCCGGCAGCGCG
rnacentral:lncRNA from 1 species